GGAAUAAAUUCUUCGAAAGAAAUACGAGACAUGGAAAAAAUAAAGGAAACUAUAAAGUAUCUAGUAUCUACUCGCAGCCUUCUUACGGAUCAGGCUCGGGAACCAGGUCCUCCUGAUCUGAAAUUGUUAAAUAAGGGGUGAGCUACACUAACCCAGUAAGGACAUCACACUAUAUCGCCGGCACAGAAGCAAAGGUUGGUAGAAAACCAAAAAG
rnacentral:lncRNA from 1 species